ensembl:lncRNA
UUUAUUGUAGUGUUAUUUUUAUAUUGUCAAUGUUCAUAAAAUUUAAUUUCUCACACCUCUUUUGACCUCAUUUUGUAUUUAGAAGGAUGUGGUGUCCACUCCAAGCCCCUUGGCGGUGUAUUUUUUUUGUUGUCUUGUUUUCUUCUUUCUUCUUUUUUCCAGAUGAGGGCUGGCUCUGUCUUCCCAGCAAUGUCUGCAGUGGGAAAGUGGCCGUAAGAAAUGGCAAUUGGAUGGCAUUGCCAAAAUGGAAAAGGCAAACUCAGGUACCUGUGACAUGACAGGAAGUGGAUGAGCCAACUGGGGCGAUCAUCCACAGUCCAGAUUGGAAUGAGCAAAUGAGACAUACUGAUCCCUCAUCAAAUCAUGGCUCUUUGGGUCAUGAUCAGUAAAAUGAAGAAAGGUUACUAGGCAACCAUGACAGAUUUCCUCAAUGUCAGCGAUGAGAGUAAUGGAGGAGACUAAUGGACUAAGGGCACCAGCAACAGCCUUUGCAGUUUGACUACAAUACAACUGGCCACACUGGGAAGGAGCCAGGGAUGGACAAAGCAGCUGAUGGCGCCAGUGCCCAUCCUGGAUACAGCCCUACCUCCUUAUCCUCUUCUGCAUCUUGUUACUGGUUGUUCAGAGAAAGUGGAGAUAGUUCUCACCCUUUGAGAAAAAGUGUCAUCAAAAGACCGUCUGGUGCAGCUCAGGAGAGGAGAGCCAUAAAGAAGCUACUUUGUGGAUGUGGCCCUAGAGGCUGGUUCCCUGGAUGGUCUCCCGAAGGUUCGGCUACCCAGCUCCCAUACCUAUGGUCCAAACUCUUUCCCAAUGGAAGGAGGGUCUAGAAAGAGUCUUGUAACCCUCAGCAAUUGAAUCUGGAGCUAAGAUACCUGUGACUGGGCACAGCCACCCGUCAGAGACACCCAAGGCUCUGUUCGCCCACACAGCAGACUUUUUGGUGGAGCUGUUGGCUUGGCACUCAUACAACCCUUGGCCACCUUGGAGACUACUGGUCUCCUCGUCCUCAUAGGGGUCAGCCUUGAACUCCCACCUGGUUUCAAUCUACUGCUGCACCCUGCUGAAGUCGUCUACCUGAAGGGAGAGCCCACUGCUGAAACUCCCGCCUCUCCAGGCCUACAGCCUUUUGGCUGAUACUGGUCAGUUUCUUGUUUCUUAUCUUUAGGCCAUAAUUUGGCUCCUUCAGGGUGAAAGGGGCCUCCCAGUCAGAAGACAUCCUGCAGCUCCUCUUCUGUUCUUAUCACCAAAAUGCCAUUCCAGAAGAUGAGGAAGGAGGGUGAGUGAGAGCAUCACAGUUCUUAUCACUCCCACCAAAAGACUGCACCCAGGCCCAUGAAGGCCUCCUUGGGAGCCAGAGAGGCCAACGGGAGGGGAAGGAUGGCUGCCAGCUCUGUCACCCCUUAAGACACGGAUGGUCUGACCUCCCCCACAUCUUGAUUCCCUGGACUGGUAUUUCAGUGGAAGCUGUUUUUCCCUUUCUGGGGGCAGUUGGGGGAAAAGAACACAAUUGCCCAUCCAAGCUCCUCCUUCCUCCUUGUCUUUAUGUGGAGGGAACUGAUGUGUCAUGGAUGAAAGAGAGUGCAUUUUAGAACUAGGCAAACCGACUUUGAUCCAUUUGCCAUCAGAAGUGUCCUAGAACUUUCUGAGACUCAGUUUCUUCAUCGGUAAAAGAAUAACAAAAAUACUACUUGCUAUGGUAGUUUUGAGGUUGCGAUGAGAUGACAUUUUUCAUUUUUAGAACAAAAGCACCACGACACAUUCCUUUCGUGGAUUGAGGGACAACCAAGCUCCUGCGUGGUUCCACCUUCCAGGAAAAGGGAUUUAUUU